UCAAGAAAUUAAGAGUUUAUGGGGGAUACCUUGGCAUUCAAAAGCGAAGAAGGACGUGGUUACCGACGAUACGCUUCGGGGAGUUGGAAACAAGCUAAGAUCCGGAGGUUUCCGAAUAAAGCUAAACACGGGUGGGAGACCGAUAGCGAACAAGUACCGUGAGGGAAAGAUGCAAAGAACUCUAACCAUGGUCAGGUUGAAGCUUAGGUAAUACUAAGAUGGAGGACCGAACCCACUGUAUGUGGAAAAAUACUGCGGAUGACUUGAGUUUAGGGGUGAAAGGCCAAUCAAAGUCGAGAUAGCUGGAUUUCUCCCCGAAAUGCGUUUUGGCGCAGCGGUGAAUGUUUUAGCUUAGGGGUAAAGCACUGUUACGUAUGCGGGCUGGUAAUUCAGGUACCAAAUCGUUGCAAACUAAGAAUACUAAGUGUACAGUUCAUCAGUGAGACUGUGGGGGAUAAGCUCCAUUGUCAAAAGGGAAACAGCCCAGAGCACCAGUUAAGGCCCCAAAAGAAUUGCUAAGUGGUAAAGGAGGUGGGAGUGCAGAAACAAUCAAUGGGUUAAUAUUCCUAUACUAUUCUUUAUUGGCAACGAGGGACGAAGACAGCUAGACUAGCCAAAUAUUGGUUAUUGGUUAUUGGUUUAAGUAUACGAAGUGUUGAGGAGUAGAGAAAAAUACUCUGAGCUAAGUUAUGAAUACGGAAUAAUGUGUGCAUUAUCUGAAGUAGUUGAUGUUAUGCUUCCAAGAAAAGCUUGCACUGCCAUAAAUAAAGAAUACCGUACUCUAAACGGACACACGUGGAUAGGAUGAGAAUUCCAAGGCGCUUGAGAGAACUCUGGUGAAGGAACUAGGCAAAAUAGCACCGUAACUUCGGGAGAAGGUGCGCCCCUGACGGUUCAUAGCUGUUGGGGGCCGCAGAGACCAGGUGGCUGCGACUGUUUAUUAAAAACACAGGUCUCUGCUAACUCGUAAGAGGAUGUAUAGGGACUGACACCUGCCCGGUGCCGGUAGGUAAAGCUUUAAUGUUUACGCGUUGAGGUCAAACCCCGGUAAACGGCGGCUGUAACUAUGACGGUCCUAAGGUAGCGAAAUUCCUUGUCGGGUAAGUUCCGACCCGCAUGAAUGGUGUAACGACUUCCCCGCUGUCUCCAACAGGGACUCAGUGAAAUUACAUAGGUCGUGAAGAUGCGACCAUCCCGCAGCUGGACGGAAAGACCCCGUGCACCUUUACUAUAGCUUUGCACUGAAUAUUGGAUCUGCUUGUGUAGGAUAGCUGGGAGGCUUUGAAACUGGGACGCUAGUUCUGGUGGAGCCAAUCUUGAAAUACCAGCCUGGUAGCUUUGAUGUUCUAACCAUGGCCCCUGAUCGGGGUUUGGGACAGUGUAUGCUGGGUAGUUUGACUGGGGCGGUCGCCUCCUAAAGAGUAACGGAGGCAUACAAAGGUAGGCUCAAUCUCGGUCGGAAAUCGAGAGGUUUGUGCAAUGGCAUAAGCCUGCUUGACUGUAAGAAAUACAUUUCGAGCAGGGACGCAAGUUGGUCAUAGUGAUCCGGUGGUUCUUUGUGGACAGGCCAUCGCGCAAUGGAUAAAAGGUACGCCGGGGAUAACAGGCUAAUGAUCCUCUAGAGCCCCUAUCGACGGGUUCGUUUGGCACCUCGAUGUCGACUCAUCACAUCCUGGAGCUGGAAAAGGUUCCAAGGGUUCGGCUGUUCGCCGACGAAAGUGGUACGUGAGUUGGGUUUAGAACGUCGUGAGACAGUUUGGUCCCUAUCUCCUGUGGGUGUUUGAAAAUUCCGAGGACUAAACCUUAGUACGAGAGGACCGGGAAAACUCGAUCCAUUGUGUUCCGGUUGUUCCCAAAGGGGCAACGCCGGGUAGCUAAGUUCGGACAGGAUAACCGCUGAAAGCAUCUAAGCGGGAAGCCCCUUCCAAGAUGAGUAUUCUCUGGAGACUAGAUCUCCCUAAAGGGCCGUUGAAGACGACGACGUUGAUAGGCUGCAUGAGUUAUAAGAUAGGCAUUAAGUGCAAGUAUAGUAAUAUAUGAAGCUGAGAUGUACUAACAGAUCGAGGACUUGAACUU
rnacentral:rRNA from 1 species